rnacentral:rRNA from 1 species
CCUCGAGUGGGGAAUAACGUUCGGAAACGGACGCUAAUACCGCAUAACGCAGCGGCACCGCAAGGUGACAGUUGUUAAAGGAGCAAUCCGCUUGAGGAGGAGCUUGCGGCAGAUUAGCUAGUUGGUAGGGUAAUGGCUUACCAAGGCUACGAUCUGUAUCCGGUCUAAGAGGACGGUCGGACACACUGACACUGAAUAACGGGUCAGACUCCUACGGGAGGCAGCAGUCGGGAAUUUUGGGCAAUGGGCGAAAGCCUGACCCAGCAACGCCGCGUGAAGGAUGAAGUAUUUCGGUCAUGUAAACUUCGAAAGAAUAGGAAGAAUACAUGACGGUACUAUUUAUAAGCUCCGGCUAACUACGUGCCAGCAGCCGCGGUAAUACGGGGGGGGCAAGCGUUGUUCGGAAUUACUGGGCGUAAAGCGCGUGUAGGCGGCUCUUUCAAGUCAGGCGUGAAAGCCCCAGGCUUAACCUGGGAAUUGCGUUUGAUACUGUCGAGCUAGAAGUGUGGAAGGAGGCUACUGGAAUUCCAGUGUGUAACCGGUGAAAUGCGUAGAUAUACGGAGGAAGGCCAGUGGCGAAGNCGGCGCUCUGGAACGUACCUGACGCUGAGACACGAAAGCGUGGGGAGCAAACAGGAUUAGAUACCCUGGGUGUCCACGCCCUAAACGAUGGACACUACGUGUCGGGGAGCAAUCUCCGGUGCCGCAGCUAACGCAGUAAGUGUCCCGCCUGGGAAGU